UACGAAGGGGGCUAGCGUUGCUCGGAAUUACUGGGCGUAAAGGGAGCGUAGGCGGAUAGUUAAGUCAGAGGUGAAAGCCCAGGGCUCAACCUUGGAAUUGCCUUUGAUACUGGCUAUCUUGAGUAUGGGAGAGGUAAGCGGAACUCCGAGUGUAGAGGUGAAAUUCGUAGAUAUUCGGAAGAACACCAGUGGCGAAGGCGGCUUACUGGCCCAUUACUGACGCUGAGGCUCGAAAGCGUGGGAG
rnacentral:rRNA from 1 species